rnacentral:rRNA from 1 species
UCGGGAAUUUUGGGCAAUGGGCGAAAGCCUGACCCAGCAACGCCGCGUGAAGGAUGAAGGCCUUAGGGUUGUAAAAUCCUUUCGUUGGGGACGAUAAUGACGGUACCCAAAGAAGAAGCUCCGGCUAACUUCGUGCCAGCAGCCGCGGUAAUACGAAGGGGGCUAGCGUUGUUCGGAUUUACUGGGCGUAAAGCGCGUGUAGGCGGACUUGUAAGUUGGGGGUGAAAUCCCGAGGCUCAACCUCGGAACUGCCUCCAAAACUACAAAUCUGGACCUAAGUAGAGGCAAGUGGAAUUGCGAGUGUAGAGGUGAAAUUCGUAGAUAUUCGCAGGAACACCAGUGGCGAAGGCGACUUGCUGGACUUAUGGUGACGCUGAGACGCGAAAGCGUGGGGAGCAAACAGGAUUAGAUACCCACGUAGUCCCUGAGCGGGCUGGCAAGGCGCAU